rfam:Elusimicrobia bacterium GWD2_63_28 gwd2_scaffold_2249, whole genome shotgun sequence.
GACCGCGGAUGGAGGGCCGCUCUUCCCGAAAGGGGAGGGAGGAACUUCCGAACUUCACAGGGCAGGGUGCCGGUUCAAACUUCGCAGCAUUAUAUGAGCGGAGCAUAGGCCGGGAGGCGGGGGCCAGAUCCCCCGUCGACGGACAGCGCCACAGAGAACAUACCGCCCGCAAGGGUAAGGGUGAAAAGGUGCGGUAAGAGCGCACCGCGCGCCGGGCGACCGGCGCGGCAGGGCAAGCCCCCUCCUGAAGCAAGGCCAAAGUUGCGCUUGGAUAGCCCGUCCGUCCCCCUCCGGGGGGAGGCGCAGAGUGGGCCGCAAUAGAUAAAUGGUCCUCCAGAUGCCGCAAGGCAUUGGACAGAAUUCGGGGUACAGUCCGCGGUCUGAA